GCUCAGGACGAACGCUGGCGGCGCGCUUAACACAUGCAAGUCGUGCGAUACCUUGAGCGAGUCUUACGACAAGUUCAAGAUAGAGCGGCGGACGGGUGAGUAACACGUGAGUAGCUGUCCUAAGGAGGGGGAUAACGCCUGGAAACGGGUGCUAAAACCCCAUAUGCCUCGCAAGAGGUGAAAGUGUAGCUUGCUACAGCCUUAGGGUGUGCUCGCGGCCUAUCAGCUAGUUGGUGAGGUAACGGCUCACCAAGGCUAAGACGGGUAGCCGGCCUGAGAGGGUGUACGGCCACACUGGAAUUGAGAUACGGUCCAGACUCCUACGGGAGGCAGCAGUGGGGAAUCUUGGGCAAUGGGCGAAAGCCUGACCCAGCGACGCCGCGUUGGGGAUGAAACCCUUUGGGGUGUAAACCCAUGUUGUAGGGGACGAAGAAAGUGACGGUACCCUACGAGGAAGCCCCGGCUAACUACGUGCCAGCAGCCGCGGUAAGACGUAGGGGGCGAGCGUUGUCCGGAAUUACUGGGCGUAAAGGGCACGCAGGCGGUGCGCCAAGUCGAGGGUGUAAAGUUACGGCUCAACCGUGACAUUGCAAUCGAUACCGGCGCGCUGGAGUGCGGGAGAGGGAAGUGGAAUUCCCGGUGUAGCGGUGAAAUGCGUAGAUAUCGGGAGGAACGCCAGUGGCGAAGGCGGCUUCCUGGCCCGCGACUGACGCUCAUGUGCGAAAGCCAGGGGAGCGAAC
rnacentral:rRNA from 1 species